GAGAGUAAACAGUGCGUGAAACCGCUCAGAGGUAAACGGGUGGAGUUGAACUGCGAUCCUUGGGAAUUCAGCUGAUGAGCAUGAUUUGUGCUUGGGCAUAUUGACCGCCUUUCAGUGUCUGCUUAGCUGCGGGUGCCUGCCUCUGGUGGGUAUGUGUGGUGCGCUUAUCAUGUGCCGCACGCAUUGGAGGGUGUAUGAGUCUGCUUGUCGGUGCACUUUCUCAGGGUGUUCACCACGACCGGCACUGCUGUCUGUCUGCUUUGGUCAAACUGAUCAGGUCUGAUUAACGUUGGGCUUGGUUGGGUUGGCAGGUGACUCACUGGUCCAUUCUGUGGGCUAUGAGUGUUACUAGCCGGCCUUAGUGGAUCUGUACGGUGUGUCGGAGACGGCGGCUUUGCAUAUGCGCUCUGUCCUUCAGGCGUGGUUGAGUCUGGUCGACUUGUUGCUAGUUUCGGCUGGUCAGUUGAUGGCUUGAUCAUGUUCAGUUGGCAGUGGUGUGUGUGUCUUAGUUUGGGCCAAUAGUCUGUGGUGUUGUGGUAGACUAUCCACCUG
rnacentral:rRNA from 1 species